rnacentral:rRNA from 1 species
GGUUAAGUGACUAAGCGUACACGGUGGAUGCCUUGGCAGUCAGAGGCGAUGAAAGACGUAGUAACUUGCGAUAAGCCCAGAUUAGGUAGUAACAACCAUUUGAGUCUGGGAUUUCUGAAUGGGGAAACCCACUUACAUAAGUAAGUAUCAUUAACUGAAUACAUAGGUUAAUGAGGCGAACCGGGGAACUGAAACAUCUAAGUACCCCGAGGAAAAGAAAUCAACCGAGAUUCCGAAAGUAGCGGCGAGCGAAAUUGGACUAGCCCUUAAGCUUUACACGCGUUAGACGAACGGUCUGGAAAGUCCGACGAUACAGGGUGAUAGUCCCGUAGUUGACGACGUGUGUUCAGUGAAAUCGAGUAGGGCGGGACACGUGAUAUCCUGUCUGAAUAUGGGGGACCAUCCUCCAAGGCUAAAUACUACUGACUGACCGAUAGUGAACCAGUACCGUGAGGGAAAGGCGAAAAGAACCCCUGUGAGGGGAGUGAAAUAGAACCUGAAACCGUGUACGUACAAGCAGUAGGAGCAGGCUUUGUCCUGUGACUGCGUACCUUUUGUAUAAUGGGUCAGCGACUUAUAUUCAGUGGCAAGGUUAACCAUCUAGGGGAGCCGUAGGGAAACCGAGUCUUAACUGGGCGUUCAGUCUCUGGAUAUAGACCCGAAACCAGGUGAUCUAGCCAUGGGCAGGUUGAAGGUUGAGUAACAUCAACUGGAGGACCGAACCGACUAAUGUUGAAAAAUUAGCGGAUGACUUGUGGCUAGGGGUGAAAGGCCAAUCAAACCUGGAGAUAGCUGGUUCUCCCCGAAAGCUAUUUAGGUAGCGCCUCGGACGAAUACUACUGGGGGUAGAGCACUGUUAAGGCUAGGGGUCAUCCCGACUUACCAACCCUUUGCAAACUCCGAAUACCAGUAAGUACUAUCCGGGAGACACACGGCGGGUGCUAACGUCCGUCGUGGAGAGGGAAACAACCCAGACCGCCAGCUAAGGUCCCAAAUUACUACUAAGUGGGAAACGAUGUGGGAAGGCUCAGACAGCCAGGAUGUUGGCUUAGAAGCAGCCAUCAUUUAAAGAAAGCGUAAUAGCUCACUGGUCGAGUCGGCCUGCGCGGAAGAUGUAACGGGGCUAAGUAGUAAACCGAAGCUGCGGCAAUGUGCUUUUGCACAUUGGGUAGGGGAGCGUUCUGUAAGCGGUUGAAGGUGUGUGGUAACGCAUGCUGGACGUAUCAGAAGUGCGAAUGCUGACAUGAGUAACGAUAAAGGGGUGAAAAACCUCCUCGCCGGAAGACCAAGGGUUCCUGUCCAACGUUAAUCGGGGCAGGGUAAGUCGACCCCUAAGGCGAGGCCGAAAGGCGUAGUCGAUGGGAAACGGGUUAAUAUUCCCGUACUUCUUACAAUUGCGAUGGGGGGACGGAGAAGGCUAGGUGGGCCUGGCGACGGUUGUCCAGGUUCAAGUGCGUAGGCUUAAGAGUUAGGUAAAUCCGGCUCUUUUUAAGGCUGAGACACGACGUCGAGCACCUACGGGUGUGAAGUCAUUGAUGCCAUGCUUCCAGGAAAAGCCUCUAAGCUUCAGAUUGUAAGGAAUCGUACCCCAAACCGACACAGGUGGUCGGGUAGAGAAUACCAAGGCGCUUGAGAGAACUCGGGUGAAGGAACUAGGCAAAAUGGUACCGUAACUUCGGGAGAAGGUACGCUCUUGAUGGUGAAGUCCCUUGCGGAUGGAGCUGACGAGAGUCGCAGAUACCAGGUGGCUGCAACUGUUUAUUAAAAACACAGCACUGUGCAAAAUCGUAAGAUGACGUAUACGGUGUGACGCCUGCCCGGUGCCGGAAGGUUAAUUGAUGGGGUUAGACUUCGGUCGAAGCUCUUGAUCGAAGCCCCGGUAAACGGCGGCCGUAACUAUAACGGUCCUAAGGUAGCGAAAUUCCUUGUCGGGUAAGUUCCGACCUGCACGAAUGGCGUAAUGAUGGCCACGCUGUCUCCACCCGAGACUCAGUGAAAUUGAAAUCGCUGUGAAGAUGCAGUGUACCCGCGGCUAGACGGAAAGACCCCGUGAACCUUUACUACAGCUUGGCACUGAACAUUGACCCUACAUGUGUAGGAUAGGUGGGAGGCUUUGAAGCAGGUACGCCAGUAUCUGUGGAGCCGUCCUUGAAAUACCACCCUUGUAGUGUUGAUGUUCUAACGUCGACCCCUAAUCGGGGUUGCGGACAGUGCCUGGUGGGUAGUUUGACUGGGGCGGUCUCCUCCCAAAGAGUAACGGAGGAGCACGAAGGUGGGCUAAUCACGGUUGGACAUCGUGAGGUUAGUGCAAUGGCAUAAGCCCGCUUGACUGCGAGAAUGACAAUUCGAGCAGGUGCGAAAGCAGGUCAUAGUGAUCCGGUGGUUCUGAAUGGAAGGGCCAUCGCUCAACGGAUAAAAGGUACUCCGGGGAUAACAGGCUGAUACCGCCCAAGAGUUCAUAUCGACGGCGGUGUUUGGCACCUCGAUGUCGGCUCAUCACAUCCUGGGGCUGAAGUCGGUCCCAAGGGUAUGGCUGUUCGCCAUUUAAAGUGGUACGCGAGCUGGGUUUAGAACGUCGUGAGACAGUUCGGUCCCUAUCUGCCGUGGGCGUUGGAAGAUUGAAGGGGCUGCUCCUAGUACGAGAGGACCGGAGUGGACGAACCUCUGGUGUUCGGGUUGUGUCGCCAGACGCAUUGCCCGGUAGCUAAGUUCGGAAUCGAUAACCGCUGAAAGCAUCUAAGCGGGAAGCGAGCCCUGAGAUGAGUCUUCCCUGAUACUUUAAGUAUCCUAAAGGGUUGUCGGAGACUACGACGUUGAUAGGUCAGGUGUGUAAGUGCUGUGAGGCAUUGAGCUAACUGAUACUAAUUGCCCGUGAGGCUUAACCAU